GUGGGUAUAGCUCAGUGGUAGAGCGCAUGCUUAGCAUGCACAAGGUCCUUUGUUCAAUCCUCAGUACCUCCA
rnacentral:tRNA from 1 species